AACAGAGGGUGCAAACGUUGUUCGGAAUUACUGGGCGUAAAGCGCGUGUAGGCUGCUCGGAAAGUCGGAUGUGAAAGCCCUGGGCUCAACCUAGGAAGUGCAUUCGAAACUUCCGAGCUGGAGUGCUGGAGAGGAAGGCGGAAUUCUCGGUGUAGAGGUGAAAUUCGUAGAUAUCGAGAGGAACACCGGUGGCGAAGGCGGCCUUCUGGACAGCGACUGACGCUGAGACGCGAAAGCGUGGGGAGCAAACAGG
rnacentral:rRNA from 1 species